rnacentral:rRNA from 1 species
GACGAACGCUGGCGGCGUGCUUAACACAUGCAAGUCGAACGGAAAGGCCUUUUCGGAGGUACUCGAGUGGCGAACGGGUGAGUAACACGUGGGUGAUCUGCCCUGCACUCCGGGAUAAGCCUGGGAAACUGGGUCUAAUACCGGAUAGGACCGCACUUUAGUGUGUGUGGUGGAAAGUUUUUUCGGUGUAGGAUGAGCCCGCGGCCUAUCAGCUUGUUGGUGGGGUAAUGGCCUACCAAGGCGGCGACGGGUAGCCGGACUGAGAGGUUGGUCGGCCACAUUGGGACUGAGAUACGGCCCAGACUCCUACGGGAGGCAGCAGUGGGGAAUAUUGCACAAUGGGCGCAAGCCUGAUGCAGCGACGCCGCGUGGGGGAUGACGGCCUUCGGGUUGUAAACGCCUUUCGCCAGGGACGAAGCGUUUUGUGACGGUACCUGGAGAAGAAGCACCGGCUAACUACGUG